UUCCUAACUGAUGCGGCUUAAUGCACUUCGAGCAAGUACCACAAAAUAAUUUAGAUCUAUUGUUUCAAUCCAGUUCAAGUAUUUUUUUCACCACAUGAAAGUAUUCCCUGCUAGACAGUUCCUCAUUUUACAUUAAUAUAUUGUAACAUCUAUUAGACCCGUUCUUUCAGUUGCGAUUUAGUUGUGCACAAUUGUUCCUACGAUGUACAAUGGUCUUCUAAUUUUAUCGUUGAUAUUAGGUGAUGUUCGGUCAGAGUCAGUCACACAACCUCGCAAAAAACUCUCUGUGAUUGAAGGCGAUACUGUAAUUGUAGGUUGCAGCUACACAACAAGGUCUUCGAACCCUGACCUAUACUGGUACAGGCAGUAUUCGAAUCAGGCUCCGGACUUCAUUUUAUAUCGGGAUAACAAUCGAAGAAAAGAUGCAGAUUUUGUCAAUGGAAGAUUUGAGGCCAAACAAAGGAAUGCAGAAAAGAAGUUUCCUUUAAAGAUUACACGAUCAGAAAUCCAGGACACUGCUGUGUAUUUCUGCGGGUUGAGAGACACAGUGGUUGAAAAUUCGUCUGGCGUUGUACAAAAACCUCAGUGA